AUCCCACGAGAAUCUAUAUUUUUUCAGGGUUUUUUUUUUCCCCUCGCUCCGCCUCUGAUAAGGAAAUGAGCCUUGUCUAGACGUCCAGAGCACCCCCCUCCUUCCCCGUGGGCAGGGAAUGGGUCUCAUCUCCGGCCGCCUAAUUCUCGCUACGGCUCUCUCCCCCGCCGGGGCCGGACUGGGGAGACACAGGGAUCAGGGAACCCGAGUGCGGAAAGGGAGAGAGCCCGGCUCCCCUGGGCUGCUUUGCCGUCCCUGCCCAUGGCCCUCUCCGGCGACGGGACGGCUUCCAGAGACCAGGGGGUGGCAGGGGAACAUACCACCACCACAGUGCUCUUGAUGCCUCUCUGCUUUCCCAACCAAGUGGAUGUAUUUAAUAACGUCCGCGCGCUCUUCCCAGGGGAUGCGAACCGGAGCUGCCAGUCCCCGCCGCACCCAGGCACAGAGCGGCUGUCACCACUGUACCGACCCCCUCCCGAGAGCAGAGUUACUGACCCUGCUGCUCCCCAACAGGGCGGUUGCCUCGUUUGAACCCGUUUCAAUUAAAUCCUUCGUUAUUGUUUAUCCGUUUAUGAAGAACACGCAAUCUACACUGCAGUUUGUUUUUAAUCUAGCAAAUCCAUGUGUUUGUCGCGGGUGUCAGCCUGCUGUGGCAGAGACAUUUCAUUAGGCUUCAUUAUUCUUGUAAAGUACUUUUUUCGCCCCUUCCUUGGUCUAAAAAGCUCCUUACUCUCUUGUGCGCCAGCAAAAAACAGCGUGUGGUAAUCGCUGCACACCUCGUCGCGUUCGUUCGGUUCCCAGCUUUAAUCAGGAUUAGGGCUCAGUUUCGCCGCCAGGUUUCAAACAGGGAGCUUGCGGCCCCCCUCCAAAACCCCUCUCUGAUCCCUGAAAAGCCAAGGAGUAAACCCGAUUCCGUGAAAACCAUGAGAACCACUUCUUCCCGGCCCUUUCCUCACCAAGACAAAAUCGCGACGGCAACGACACACGAGGGACAAAAAACCCGCACAAACCCGCCGGGCAACCUAGGGUCCAGAGGGAUGGUUUCAGAUGAAAACAGUUUCUCCAGUAAAAAGAAUGGUGUUUAUUCGCUCGGGCGGAGUCUCAGGAUCGCCCGUUCGUGCCUUGCGAGCGCACCGCUACUUUACAAAACGACGGCUACAGCACUACCCGGCUCCGGCUUGGGCUCUGCUCCUCUGCAACCUCACGCGAUUAUCAGCCCGGCUUUCAGGAGCUUUUUUCUCCUCCGCUGCACAUAAUUCUAUUGGUCUGUCCGCCGGAUUCCUCCUCUCUUU
rnacentral:lncRNA from 13 species